GCUUGUCUCAAAGAUUAAGCCAUGCAUGUCUAAGUAUAAACAACUUUGUACUGUGAAACUGCGAAUGGCUCAUUAAAUCAGUUAUAGUUUAUUUGAUGGUGCUUACUACAUGGAUAACCGUGGUAAUUCUAGAGCUAAUACAUGCGCAAAAGACCCGACUGUUUGGGAGGGUUGUAUUUAUUAGAUAAAAAACCAAUGCGGGUUCUGCCCGGUUUUGUGUUGAAUCAUAGUAACUUUUCGAAUCGCAUGGCUUCACGCCGGCGAUAGUUCAUUCAAAUUUCUGCCCUAUCAGCUUUCGACGGUAGUGUAGUGGACUACCGUGGCGUUAACGGGUAACGGAGAAUUAGGGUUCGAUUCCGGAGAGGGAGCCUGAGAAACGGCUACCACAUCCAAGGAAGGCAGCAGG
rnacentral:rRNA from 1 species